AUACGUAGGGUGCAAGCGUUAAUCGGAAUUACUGGGCGUAAAGCGUGCGCAGGCGGUUUUGUAAGACAGAGGUGAAAUCCCCGGGCUCAACCUGGGAACUUCCUUUGUGACUGCAAGGCUAGAGUACGGCAGAGGGGGAGGGAAUUCCGCGUGUAGCAGUGAAAUGCGUAGAUAUGCGGAGGAACACCGAUGGCGAAGGCAAUCCCCUGGGCCUGUACUGACGCUCAUGCACGAAAGCGUGGGGAGCAAACAGGAUUAGAUACCCUGGUAGUCCACGCCCUAAACGAUGUCAACUGGUUGUUGGGUCUUCAUUGACUCAGUAACGAAGCUAACGCGUGAAGUUGACCGCCUGGGGAGUACGGUCGCAAGACUGAAACUCAAAGGAAUUGACGGGG
rnacentral:rRNA from 1 species